UACAGAGGUCUCAAGCGUUUGUUCGGAUUCAUUGGGCGUAAAGGGUGUGUAGGUGGCGCGCUAAGUCGGGUGUGAAAUUUCGGAGCUUAACUCCGAAACUGCAUUCGAUACUGCCGUGCUUGAGGACUGGAGAGGAGACUGGAAUUUACGGUGUAGCGGUGAAAUGCGUAGAUAUCGUAAGGAAGACCAGUGGCGAAGGCGGGUCUCUGGACGAGU
rnacentral:rRNA from 1 species